UGGGGAAUAUUGGACAAUGGGCGCAAGCCUGAUCCAGCCAUGCCGCGUGAGUGAUGAAGGCCUUAGGGUUGUAAAGCUCUUUCGGCGGGGACGAUAAUGACGGUACCCGCAGAAGAAGCCCCGGCUAACUUCGUGCCAGCAGCCGCGGUAAUACGAAGGGGGCUAGCGUUGCUCGGAAUCACUGGGCGUAAAGGGCGCGUAGGCGGACAUUUAAGUCGGGGGUGAAGGCCCAGGGCUCAACCCUGGAAUUGCCUCCGAUACUGGGUGUCUCGAGACCGGAAGAGGUGAGUGGAACUGCGAGUGUAGAGGUGAAAUUCGUAGAUAUUCGCAAGAACACCAGUGGCGAAGGCGGCUCACUGGUCCGGUUCUGACGCUGAGGCGCGAAAAGCGUGGGGAGCAAACAGGAUUAGAUACCCUGGUAGUCCACGCCGUAAACGAUGGAUGCUAGCCGUUGGCAGGCUUGCCUGUCAGUGGCGCAGCUAACGCUUUAAGCAUCCCGCCUGGGGAGUACGGCCGCAAGGUUAAAACUUAAAGGAAUUGACGGGGUCAUAGCUGUUUCCU
rnacentral:rRNA from 1 species